rnacentral:rRNA from 1 species
GGGGAAUAUUGGACAAUGGGCGAAAGCCUGAUCCAGCCAUGCCGCGUGAGUGAUGAAGGCCCUAGGGUUGUAAAGCUCUUUCAGCGGGGAAGAUAAUGACGGUACCCGCAGAAGAAGCCCCGGCUAACUUCGUGCCAGCAGCCGCGGUAAUACGAAGGGGGCUAGCGUUGUUCGGAAUCACUGGGCGUAAAGCGCGUGUAGGCGGAUCGUUAAGUCGGGGGUGAAAUCCUGAGGCUCAACCUCAGAACUGCCUUCGAUACUGGCGAUCUUGGAGUCCGGGAGAGGUGAGUGGAACUCCUAGUGUAGAGGUGAAAUUCGUAGAUAUUAGGAAGAACACCAGUGGCGAAGGCGGCUCACUGGCCCGGUACUGACGCUGAUAUGCGAAAGCGUGGGGAGCAAAC